GACGAACGCUGGCGGCGUGCUUAACACAUGCAAGUCGAACGGACAGGCCCUGCUCUUGUUGGGUGCUCGAGUGGCGAACGGGUGAGUAACACGCGAGUAACCUGUCCUUGACUUUGGGAUAUCUUCAGGAAACAGGGGCUCAUACCGGAUAGGAUCUCCUGCAGCAUGGUGGGGGUUGGAAAGAUUCGGCGGUUGGGGCUGUACGCGCGGCUUAUCAGCUUGUUGGGGGGGUAGUGGCUUACCAAGGCUUUGACGGGUAGCCGGCCUGGGAGGGUGACCGGCCACAUUGGGACUGAGAGACGGCGCAGACUCCUACGGGAGGCAGCAGUGGGGAAUAUUGCACAAUGGGCGGAAGCCUGAGGCAGCAAUGCCGCGUGCGGGAUGACGGCCUUCGGGUUGUAAACCGCUUUCGCCUGUGACGAAGCGUGAGUGACGGUAAUGGGUAAAGAAGCACCGGCUAACUACGUG
rnacentral:rRNA from 1 species